rnacentral:rRNA from 1 species
CCUACGGGUGGCUGCAGUGGGGAAUUUUGGACAAUGGGGGCAACCCUGAUCCAGCCAUUCCGCGUGAGUGAAGAAGGCCUUCGGGUUGUAAAGCUCUUUUGUCCGGAACGAAACGGUUACGGUGAAUACCCGUGACUACUGACGGUACCGGAAGAAUAAGCACCGGCUAACUACGUGCCAGCAGCCGCGGUAAUACGUAGGGUGCGAGCGUUAAUCGGAAUUACUGGGCGUAAAGCGUGCGCAGGCGGUUUUGUAAGCCAGAUGUGAAAUCCCCG